rnacentral:piRNA from 1 species
CUGGAGGCCAAAAUGAGCAUCUCAGACUGUGC